rnacentral:rRNA from 1 species
UACGAAGGGGACUAGCGUUGUUCGGAAUUACUGGGCGUAAAGCGCACGUAGGCGGACUACUAAGUCAGGGGUGAAAUCCCGGGGCUCAACCCCGGAACUGCCUUUGAUACUGGUAGUCUCGAGUCCGGAAGAGGUGAGUGGAAUUCCGAGUGUAGAGGUGAAAUUCGUAGAUAUUCGGAGGAACACCAGUGGCGAAGGCGGCUCACUGGUCCGGUACUGACGCUGAGGUGCGAAAGCGUGGGGAGCAAACAGG